GACGAACGCUGGCGGCGUGCUUAACACAUGCAAGUCGAACGGAAAGGCCCUGCUUUUGUGGGGUGCUCGAGUGGCGAACGGGUGAGUAACACGUGAGUAACCUGCCCUUGACUUUGGGAUAACUUCAGGAAACUGGGGCUAAUACCGGAUAGGAGCUCCUGCUGCAUGGUGGGGGUUGGAAAGUUUCGGCGGUUGGGGAUGGACUCGCGGCUUAUCAGCUUGUUGGUGGGGUAGUGGCUUACCAAGGCUUUGACGGGUAGCCGGCCUGAGAGGGUGACCGGCCACAUUGGGACUGAGAUACGGCCCAGACUCCUACGGGAGGCAGCAGUGGGGAAUAUGGCACAAGGGGCGGGAGCCUGAUGCAGCAACGCCGCGUGCGGGAUGACGGCCUUCGGGUUGUGAACCGCUUUCGCCUGUGACGAAGCGUGAGUGACGGUAAUGGGGAAAGAAGCACCGGCUAACUACGU
rnacentral:rRNA from 1 species